GCGUGGUCGCCCGCGUGGCGCGGCCACUGCUCCGGGGCCGCCGGCUCCUAGGCGCUGGGAGGGCGAAGCGGAAGAGCGGGUUAAUUCAUCCACGCGCCCCGCAAACUUUUCUAACCCGGUGGGAAAGUGAGCCGCGGCGGCCGCACCGAGCCUUUUAGCCUCACGUUCCCGAGCCUCGAGGGGGCUCUGGGACCAGCCCGCCUCGCAGCGGCGACACAAAUACAUAUUUUGCAAAAAAGGGGGAAAAAAAAAACCACCGAGUUGCGCGAACCCGUCAAGUCAAAUGUGCUUGGCUUUCAGCGGCGGGGGCGCUGACGUCAGCCCACGCCGCGCAGCUCUGCCGGGCCGCAGACGUGCGGGUCACUGGCGGCGGCCGGGCUGCGGGGCUGCGGGGCUGCGGGGCGGGGGCGCCGCGCGGGGCGAAGAGGCCACAACAGGCUCUGACAAAUGAAUUCCGUCCGUGGAGUCAAUAUCGCCCCCACGAAUGCCGUUUCUCCUUAGUCACCGAGGAUGGGAAGCACUUUUAAUUAGAAAUUAAUUAAUGAGCACCUGCGCCUGCCCGCCCCACUGUAAUCAUUAGUCUCAAUUACAAAUGAGACAUGUGAAGGGACACACGAGCGAGUCUCCACUGAAGAUGUAAUCAACAGUUAAAAUUAGCCGGGCGCUGGCGCAGGCGGCCGGGCCUCCGCGCCCCGCUCGGCGGCAGGUGCCGGAGGGCGGCUCCGCAGGCCCGCGCGCGACCCCGACUAUUGUUUCACUGGCUCUCCGCUCGGCCUCCCGCCGGUUCGAACCCUGCUCCGGGGCGGGGAGCUCCAGAACCAGAUGCGGCUGCCACUGUGCGCGUCCGAAGGGCAACCUGCUCUCAGCUGCAAACCUGCCUCCCAGAAACGAAAUCUGCCCGCUCUGACAGCUCGGUUGAAGGUGAUUGAUGACUGUCUGGAGACCACAGUACGCAUCAUAUAAUAUCUGCUGCGUAAUUGCUUUAAUUUACAGAUGAAUAUACGAGCUCUCCGAUCGCGCUGAACCACAGCCGGCCACGUCCGAGCUGCUUGCGAAGGAAAAUCAUCGGAAAUAAUGAAUAGCCGCCCCAUGCAAAUUAUUCAGACAGUUUAAGCGUCUGUAGCCGGGAGAGAUAUAUAAAGAACACGAGUCAAAUGACA